CAGCCAUGCCGCGUGCGGGAAGAAGGCCUUCGGGUUGUAAACCGCUUUUGUCAGGGAAGAAAAGGUUCUGGUUAAUACCUGGGACUCAUGACGGUACCUGAAGAAUAAGCACCGGCUAACUACGUGCCAGCAGCCGCGGUAAUACGUAGGGUGCAAGCGUUAAUCGGAAUUACUGGGCGUAAAGCGUGCGCAGGCGGUUAUGCAAGACAGAGGUGAAAUCCCCGGGCUCAACCUGGGAACUGCCUUUGUGACUGCAUAGCUAGAGUACGGUAGAGGGGGAUGGAAUUCCGCGUGUAGCAGUGAAAUGCGUAGAUAUGCGGAGGAACACCGAUGGCGAAGGCAAUCCCCUGGACCUGUACUGACGCUCAUGCACGAAAGCGUGGGGAGCAAACAGGAUUAGAUACCCUGGUAGUCCACGCCCUAAACGAUGUCAACUGGUUGUUGGGAGGGUUUCUUCUCAGUAACGUAGCUAACGCGUGAAGUUGACCGCCUGGGGAGUACGGCCGCAAGGUUGAAACUCAAAGAAAUUGA
rnacentral:rRNA from 1 species